rnacentral:rRNA from 1 species
CCUACGGGAGGCAGCAGUGAGGAAUAUUGGUCAAUGGGCGGAAGCCUGAACCAGCCAAGUAGCGUGCGGGAUGAAGGCCCUACGGGUCGUAAACCGCUUUUGCACGGGGAUAACACCCUCCACUUGUGGAGGUCUGCAGGUACCGUGCGAAUAAGGGCCGGCUAAUUCCGUGCCAGCAGCCGCGGUAAUACGGAAGGCCCGAGCGUUAUCCGGAUUCAUUGGGCUUAAAGGUAGCGUAGGCGGGCUUUCAAGUCAGCUGUAAAAUCGCGCGGCUCAACCGCGCCCCGCAGUUGAAACUGGACGCAUUGAGUUCACAACAGGCAGGCGGAAUUCGUGGUGUAGCGGUGAAAUGCAUAGAUAUCACGAGGAACCCCGAUUGCGAAGGCAGCCUGCCGGGGUGCGACUGACGCUGAGGCUCGAAGGUGCGGGUAUCAAACAGGAUUAGAUACCCGAGUAGUC